rnacentral:rRNA from 1 species
UCCGGAGGGCGCGACCGUUACCCGGAUUUACUGGGCGUAAAGGGCGUGUAGGCGGUCUGGGGCGUCCCAUGUGAAAGGCCACGGCUCAACCGUGGAGGAGCGUGGGAUACGCUCAGGCUAGACGGUGGGAGAGGGUGGUGGAAUUCCCGGAGUAGCGGUGAAAUGCGCAGAUACCGGGAGGAACGCCGAUGGCGAAGGCAGCCACCUGGUUCACUGGUGACGCUGAGGCGCGAAAGCGUGGGGAGCAAACCGG